AACGAACGCUGGCGGCAGGCCUAACACAUGCAAGUCGAGCGAAGCCUUCGGGCUUAGCGGCGGACGGGUUAGUAACGCGUGGGAACGUACCCUUUUCUGCGGAAUAGCCUCUGGAAACGGAGAGUAAUACCGCAUACGCCCUUCGGGGGAAAGAUUUAUCGGAGAAGGAUCGGCCCGCGUUAGAUUAGGUAGUUGGUGGGGUAACGGCCUACCAAGCCUACGAUCUAUAGCUGGUUUGAGAGGAUGAUCAGCAACACUGGGACUGAGACACGGCCCAG
rnacentral:rRNA from 1 species